CAUAGUAUAAGGUGGAAGACUAAAAUAGGAAAACAGAAGUAGAGAAAUUAUAGCUGCACAUGGGUCUGCACAGUCCCAAAUCCUUUAAUUGCCCAUUAUGCUAAAAACAACGUAAAAAAAAAACCCACCACAAACACACACAUGGCUCCACUACAUAAACCUCAACUGCCAGUGCUCAUACCCCAACAUGGGAUAAAGGGGUAAACUGGGGAUAGGCUGUGUGACUUCAGAAAGUUUACUUAUACACUAGUAGUUCUCUGGCUCUAUGUAAAUGCAAACAAAAUAGCAAAUUCAGUUCAGUACUAAGACCGGAAUAUCUUACUAUUACAUGCUGUGAAUUUUUAAAUUUUACCUUACACUUCCAAGAUACAAAUCCUGUCUUGAAAGUCACUUUAUGAAAAAUCAAUUCAAAUGCUCAGGGCUUCAGGUUAGUAUAGUAAAGUAUUUUCAAACUUCAGAAUUACGUUGCUGAUGUUAAAUAAUAUGAAGUUAAGUUAAUGUGGAGUUACUAUAGAAAGCCAAAUGCUUUAAUUUGCAAUUCCUGAAUCAGAAUGAAAGUAGGUUUUCUGCUUCCCUCACACAAUUGAGGAAAACAGUGAUUUAUAUACCUAGACAGGAAUUAGCUGGACUUCAGAAAUCUUUUGGUGCAGGAAAGUACAUAUACAUCUUGGAAUGAAGAGGCAUUUCCUAACAUAUGUUUAGAUUUUUUUUUUAUUUUAAUGUUAGUGGGAAGUACCUACAUACCUACAGUGUGAGUGAACCCUGAAUUCCAUAUCAAAUUAAUAUGAAUGUGUUCUUAAGUGCCUUGUACAGACUAUACCAUCUCUACUUAACAGAAAUACAUUUCUUCAAAGAAAUUAAUAAAACACAAAUAACUCAGCUUUUGGAUUUAUAAAGCUUGUUAUUAGCUUGCGAGAAACAAAUAUUCUUUCAAUUUUAGAAGUGGAUUUUUUUCACACUGUAGUUUGAUUUAUACUAAAUUAAGCAUCAGUGAAUGUUAUAAAAUAUUGCUUCUCUUCUGGGAUACAAAUAAUCAUGAUCAUAUUUAUAACCAAAUAAGAAGAAAAGCAUAAAUAAAUAAUGCAGCAUUAGUGGGGAAAAAAGGCCUAAUGAAUUAAGCUUGACUGUAAAUAUCCAGCAGAGGAGGCUAGUUCUGAAUAUAGAACUGAUCAGAUGAGACUGUUUUGAGAUAUCCUUACCUAUAUAUCUUUAAAUGAUAGCAGAUGCUUAAAAAUGUAAAACUCAGAUAGGGUUAACCUGAAGAAAAUGCAGUUUCUGAGGAUUUUCAACAUUUAGACUAUGCAAAUAACUUGUGUGAGAUGGGCAGGUGUUGAGAGGGAAGUGUUUUGGUUUAGAUGCAAACAUGAAGUUGCGUGAGAAGAAAAACAAAGAAAUCACAUAACAUUAUUUUCUCUGUCCCUAAUGUAGGUGGGAUAUAGAAACCAGAGGUGCUGUGAUAUCACUGGCAUUUGCAUCUCACCUUGCCUGUGAAAUCCCCAAAUCUGCUGUAAGGGCAACCUGAGAAACAGAGCCAGAUGGAGAGUGGUUUUCUCAAUCAUUCAGGUUACAAGCAGAUGCACACCCCUGAGAGGCCAAAGGUCUUGCUUCCAUUUAGUAAUUUUCUCAAGGCUCUGAAGGGAAUGAGGAUUAGGAGCUCACUUUUCAUUACCUAAAUCAUGCACAGCUGGGAAAGAGGUGAUCCUUGAAGUAAGUUUUAAACUAAUUAUUCAUUGCUACAAGUUGACGCUGACACGUAUGUGGAAAAGUACAGCUAGCAAAGUUAUGAGGUAAGAAAGAUGAGAAACAAGAUUAUGUCACAAGAUGUCCAAAUAAAAAUAGCACCCCCACCUUUGAAACCUUGUUGAAUCAAGGACACAAUGAGUACUUUAGGACCCUUAAGAGAUAACAGACAGGAGUCCCAGGAACCAAGGUAUGUUAUCAGUGUAGGAAAUUGGAGAGCACAACAUAUGAGUGGAUGAAGCAGGGGUAUGGCUUUUGUUUGAACUGAGCCCCAAAAACGUUCUUCUGCACCACCAAACCCCUUCUAAGGAACAGUUUGCACCAUAUUUUGCUUAACUUUGGAAGCUGAUUAUAUCUGCCUGGAAUCUACACAUCUUGUUCUAACUACUAUUGACAUUUUUAGACAUUUUUAUCAUGAUUCUUACUCGAGUACAUGAUACUAGUAGCGUUAGUAAGACUAAUCUCACGAAGGCACAAAGAGCAUUUUGGUCAGGUUGUAUUAAGCUCUCGAAAAAGAAUGGCUUAUAGUACGAUGCCAUACUUCAAAUAGUUUUAAACCAAGAGACCCAAAUACCUUUCAAAGGUGUCUGGACUC